rnacentral:rRNA from 1 species
AUUGAACGCUGGCGGCAUGCCUUACACAUGCAAGUCGAACGGCAGCGCGGGGCAACCUGGCGGCGAGUGGCGAACGGGUGAGUAAUAUAUCGGAACAUACCCUAGAGUGGGGGAUAACGUAGCGAAAGUUACGCUAAUACCGCAUACGCACUAAGGUGGAAAGUGGGGGAUCUUCGGACCUCAUGCUCAUGGAGUGGCCGAUAUCUGAUUAGCUAGUUGGUGAGGUAAAGGCUCACCAAGGCGACGAUCAGUAGCUGGUUUGAGAGAACGACCAGCCACACUGGAACUGAGACACGGUCCAGACUCCUACGGAGGCAGCAGUGGGGAAUUUUGGACAAUGGGGGCAACCCUGAUCCAGCAAUGCCGCGUGAGUGAAGAAGGCCUUCGGUU